UGGGGAAUUUUGGACAAUGGGCGCAAGCCUGAUCCAGCCAUUCCGCGUGCAGGAUGAAGGCCUUCGGGUUGUAAACUGCUUUUGUACGGAACGAAACGGUUCUCUCUAAUACAGGGGGCUAAUGACGGUACCGUAAGAAUAAGCACCGGCUAACUACGUGCCAGCAGCCGCGGUAAUACGUAGGGUGCAAGCGUUAAUCGGAAUUACUGGGCGUAAAGCGUGCGCAGGCGGUUUUGUAAGACAGAGAUGAAAUCCCCGGGCUCAACCUGGGAACUGCCUUUGUGACUGCAAGGCUGGAGUACGGCAGAGGGGGAUGGAAUUCCGCGUGUAGCAGUGAAAUGCGUAGAUAUGCGGAGGAACACCGAUGGCGAAGGCAAUCCCCUGGGCCUGUACUGA
rnacentral:rRNA from 1 species